CAGGAUAAAGAGAAGGAAAGGUCCAAGCUAGUGGGAGGGGGUGCCCACCCAGCACUCCCUCGCCCUCCCUGUCCCCUGGCAGCCACGAGGAAGACAGGCAGACGAUUCUGGAUGACCACCUGUCCAGGGUCCUCAAGACCCCUGGCUGCCAGUCACCAGACUCAGGCCACUACCACCUCCUGCUCCUGCACUCCAGACUACCACCACCACCACCACCACCACCAUCACCACCAACAUCACCAUCACCA
rnacentral:lncRNA from 10 species